rnacentral:rRNA from 1 species
GGGAGCUUGCUCCCGGAUGUUAGCGGCGGACGGGUGAGUAACACGUGGGUAACCUGCCUGUAAGACUGGGAUAACUCCGGGAAACCGGAGCUAAUACCGGAUAGUUCCUUGAACCGCAUGGUUCAAGGAUGAAAGACGGUUUCGGCUGUCACUUACAGAUGGACCCGCGGCGCAUUAGCUAGUUGGUGAGGUAACGGCUCACCAAGGCGACGAUGCGUAGCCGACCUGAGAGGGUGAUCGGCCACACUGGGACUGAGACACGGCCCAGACUCCUACGGGAGGCAGCAGUAGGGAAUCUUCCGCAAUGGACGAAAGUCUGACGGAGCAACGCCGCGUGAGUGAUGAAGGUUUUCGGAUCGUAAAGCUCUGUUGUUAGGGAAGAACAAGUGCAAGAGUAACUGCUUGCACCUUGACGGUACCUAACCAGAAAGCCACGGCUAACUACGUGCCAGCAGCCGCGGUAAUACGUAGGUGGCAAGCGUUGUCCGGAAUUAUUGGGCGUAAAGGGCUCGCAGGCGGUUUCUUAAGUCUGAUGUGAAAGCCCCCGGCUCACCCGGGGAGGGUCAUUGGAAACUGGGAAACUUGAGUGCAGAAGAGGAGAGUGGAAUUCCACGUGUAGCGGUGAAAUGCGUAGAGAUGUGGAGGAACACCAGUGGCGAAGGCGACUCUCUGGUCUGUAACUGACGCUGAGGAGCGAAAGCGUGGGGAGCGAACAGGAUUAGAUACCCUGGUAGUCCACGCCGUAAACGAUGAGUGCUAAGUGUUAGGGGGUUUCCGCCCCUUAGUGCUGCAGCUAACGCAUUAAGCACUCCGCCUG